rnacentral:tRNA from 1 species
UCCCUGAUGGCUGAGCUGGUAAAGAAUCUACCUGCAGUGUAGGAUACCUGGGUUUGAUCCCUGGUUUGGGGA